GAAUUGUUCAGGCAUUGUCAGUUCCCAUAUCCAGCCAGUAUCUUCAAAUGGGCAGAACUACAAAUAUUCCCAAAAGCAAUUUCGGGGUAUACUGAUGCACGAAGCAAGCUGCAUUAGAAAUGAUGAAGUAAUGAGAUCUCCCUCACUGUGGAACCUGCAGUGUUUCAACAGUCAGAAGACGUUUGAACAGGAGGAGAAUCUGAACAAGAAACUGUGAAGAGCCUGGGAAGGAGGCUAUAAGAUGCCAGCAGGAAAAGGAGGACAUGAAGAAUCACAAAACCACAGAAUGGUUUGCAUUGGAAGGGAUGCAGAAAAGGACUGUGAGAUGUGCAUACUGGAAAAUGGAGACAGACCGAAACUGGAAAAUGGAUAGGAAAUAGGUGCAGGAAACAUAGAUUGCCCUGUCUCGGCAGGUGUUGUGGCCUGUGUCUCCCUCACCUGCACUCCUCCACUAUCUCUAAUGCAGAUACAUAGAACAACAUUAUCUUAGUACUGCUUAAUAUUAGCAAUGAAAUAAUUCUGUCCUUCCUAAUUCCCAUUUGGUACAUCAAUGGAGAUACUCAUGUCAACUGAAGACAGGUCUUUCUUUUUCUGAUCUUUCUGUCUCUGUCACAGCAUCCACAGAGUCUAUUCACUAUUUUUAUUACAUAGAUAGUCCUCUGGAUGCUUCCUUAAUUGUUCAUGUAACACUGUGGUUGCCUUGCACUAAAAUCAGCUGUUCUUGUAGAAAUGUUAAUCUCAUCUGGUGUAAAGCUUGGGACUUCAAAAGUCUUAUUCUCCCUUAUUGUUUCAGUAUUAUCCUCCAUCAGCAUAUGAUACACCUGGAUGUAGAAUAUCCAUGACCAACCAUGUGGGAAGUAUUUUCAUUCCAUCCAGAAACUAGUGAGACCACUGGUUAUACUUCUUUCCAAAAUUUAUAUCAGUAAGUGAAAUGAAAUGAGGCAUCUUAAAGAAUAAACUUUCCAGGCAGAUCAUAAACUAGGUGAAACUAUAUAUGUCAUUCUAAGACAUGAUCUGAAGCAUAUAUGAGAUAUUUUGGGGUUGCUAUUUGUUAUGGAGGUUGGACUAGAUGACUCUGAGUUUCCUCCCAAACCAAGUAUUUUUAUGGUUCUCUGAUUCAAAUUUUAUCUGAAAAGUUACAAAACAUUUCUUGUCAUUAUGAAAAAUAUUUGAACACUAGAUAAGAACUAUAUUGAGUUUCAGCAAAAGUUGAUUAUUCUGUUUAUUUUUUAUGAUCAGAUACAGAAAGUUGUUGUGUGGAGAAUACAUCCAGAGCUAAAGAUAAGAAGAAUGAGACAUGUGGGCAUCACUUAGGGAAUUUUGGAAAUUGUUGUGCAAUGAUUUUUAGAACUCAUAACAUUUGAAUUAAGAUGCACACAGAAGAGCUGUGAGGAAAAAUGGUUGAUUUUUUUUUCUCUGAAUUUUUAAGCUGUACUGAAAUCAAUCAUGGAAAAAAUAAAACAGCAAAUAGUUCAGAAUCUACUACUUCACUUAAGAUAAACUAAAAGAAUUAAGAGAUCAGAGACACAUAUCUGUGGGAAAAACAGUAUCCAGCAAAUGAACGUGUGGGAUGCUUCAAGAGGAGGCAUAAUCUCAGCUAUGACAAGUAGGAGACUAGUUCCAAAUGAAGGAGAUUAUGAAAACUAUAAUUAGCUAAUGCUUUCUAAAAGCCUAACUAAACUGUUGGGUUUUUUCCAUUCCGAAGUGCAAUACCACAGUGGGAUCAAGUGUCACAUAGCAAGUGCAGACAAACAGAUCUUAUGAACAUAAGAUCUGGCAUUAUUUCAGGACAGACUUGUAAGCUCUGUGAACCAGAUACUUUUCUGUUAACCAUGCUGUGAUUUCUGAAGAACUGUUUACUUACUAUAUUGGAAUAUAAUAAGAACAUCACCGUUAAUUGUCACCAAUUUGCACUGAUUUUAUUUACGUCUACAGAAAACUCUUCUUUAAUCUCUAAUCUGUGUUGUAAAUUAUUAAGAAAGCGAUAGAUUGCUGGAGUGAAUAGAAUCCCUAGUCUCAUAAAAGCAAAUUUACUCUUCUCAGAAAUGGUCUCAUUACUUUUUUAUUUAAUGUGCAUGGUAUUAAACAUAAUAACCUCAUGAAGGAUGACCGCGUCUGCUCUGCAUGGAUCACA